GGACCCGCACAAGUAGUGGAGCAUGUGGUUUAAUUCGAAGAUACGCGCAGAACCUUACCAACACUUGACAUGUUCGUCGCGACUUUAAGAGAUUAAAGUUUUCGGUUCGGCCGGACGAAACACAGGUGCUGCAUGGCUGUCGUCAGCUCGUGUCGUGAGAUGUUGGUUAAGUCCCGCAACGAGCGCAACCCUCACUUUUAGUUGCCAUCAUUUAGUUGGGCACUCUGAAAGAACUGCCAGUGAUAAGCUGGAGGAAGGUGGGGAUGACGUCAAGUCCUCAUGGCCCUUACGUGUUGGGCUACACACGUGCUACAAUGAUAUUUACACAGGAAGCAAAACCGCGAGGUUAAGCA
rnacentral:rRNA from 1 species